GACGAACGCUGGCGGCGUGCCUAAUACAUGCAAGUAGAACGCUGAAGAGAAGAGCUUGCUCUUCUUGGAUGAGUUGCGAACGGGUGAGUAACGCGUAGGUAACCUGCCUGGUAGCGGGGGAUAACUAUUGGAAACGAUAGCUAAUACCGCAUGAUAUUAAUUGUCGCAUGAUAAUUAAUUGAAAGAUGCAAUUGCAUCACUACCAGAUGGACCUGCGUUGUAUUAGCUAGUUGGUGAGGUAACGGCUCACCAAGGCGACGAUACAUAGCCGACCUGAGAGGGUGAUCGGCCACACUGGGACUGAGACACGGCCCAGACUCCUACGGGAGGCAGCAGUAGGGAAUCUUCGGCAAUGGGGGGAACCCUGACCGAGCAACGCCGCGUGAGUGAAGAAGGUUUUCGGAUCGUAAAGCUCUGUUGUAAGAGAAGAACGGGUGUGAGAGUGGAAAGUUCACACUGUGA
rnacentral:rRNA from 1 species